UACUCACUGGAGGAUUUGGCAACUGCUUACACAUUUUCAUUUCACCUACAGCAGGAUGGAAUCCAGGCAAAGAAAUGCCCAAAGUAUAAAAGUAUUUAUUAGCAGGGGACUAUGCGUGUGUGUUGCCAGGUACAGGCUCCAAAUUUCUUUUUGAGGACGCCCAGCUGGAGUCUCCAUGGGUUAAGAUAUCCUAGGAGCAUCAAAUCAGCUCUGAAGACUGACCAAGAAGAGCAUGGGACGUGCCCUGCAGGAAAGUGAAAAGAAAGGGUAAAUUGUAUGAGAAGUCACUGGCUUCUGCCUCUCGAGAGAUGAGGAGGUUCAGGUCAGGACCAGGGCAACCAAAGGGCUCCAGGGGAAAACUCGUCUCUGAUUCACCUUCUGCUCCACUUGCAAAACCUUCCAUCAGUUGCUGAGAUUUUGGAACCAUUUGCCUAAAACAAAAGAAAACACUCAUAUUGCCAACUCAGAGGGAGAACAAAGGGCUGGAUUAAUAAAAAGCAAACGAGGUGGAAAAAUAUUUUUGGAGGGGAGGGCAGAGCUUGACCAUCUUUUAUAUUCUCCCAGCUUCCAGGUUCCAAGCCUCUUGGCUAUAUUCAGAGCUGGAAGGAAAACGAGUGUUAGAGCAACGCUUUUACAUUUCAGGGAAGGAACUGAGAUCCAGCCAUGUGGAUGCAUGACUUAUCAUAAGUCGUUAGUGACAAAACCCGACCCAGGGCCCAGGCUCCCUGUACUGACCCUUCCUUGCCUCAGUUUCCCAAGGCCCAGCAAUCAGCAAGUUCUACAGGGUCUCAUUUCCCCAUCCUUUCCCUUGCAGUGCUACCACAGGGGCGUAGGCCCUUACCACCCAAGGCAAAGGAAGAAGAAGGUCAGUUCUGUGCUAAGCCCUUGGCAAACACGCAUGUAAUGCUUGCAACACACUGUGAGUUGAGUAAUAAUUCCUGCCUUGCAUAUGAAGGAACAGAGGCUUGGAGACUGAGGUCACACAGCUGGUGAGUGACAGAAUUAAGACUCACAUCCUUUAUUCACCUGACUCCAGGUCCACACUCAUCACCUCAGCAUCUCCUGCCUCCCAAGGCUACUUCAAUGGCUUCCUAUUUGGACCCCUGUACUUAUCCUCUUCCCAUUUCAAGCCUCCUACAAUCUGAACCUGUUGGAGAAGACUCUUGAGAGUCCCUUGGACUACAAGGAGAUCCAACC
rnacentral:lncRNA from 1 species